rnacentral:lncRNA from 1 species
CCUCCUCUGUUGAGCAUUGUGUUACCGGACAGCGCUGUUUAGUAUCAUUAUGUGUGCUAAACUCCGCCAGUUUAGCACGAAUCGGAUCAGUAUGGCCGACUUCGACCCUCAAGAUAGUGAUGAGUCGGGUGAUGAGGACAGCUGGAAGGAUUCAACCCAUUCUGGCCGUGAUGGUGCCAUUUUUCUGGUGGAAGUAUCCCCAGAAAUGUUUCAGAAGCGGGAGGAUGAGGAAGAUAGCUUUUUACAGCUGGCAUUAAGGUGCUCCCUCUCCAUGAUCGUCAACAAGG